ACUGGACCGAUGGCCAAGUUCAAGACCCUCCUCCCUUUCUGGACCCAGCACUCCGCCCUGCUGUCCAGCUAGGCCACAGCUAACUUUCACUGGCUCCUUGUUUUAUUCCAGGCACUGUUCUAAACACUAUACACAUAUUCAAAUCAUUUGACCUUUCACUGGGUGGCAGGACCUGGGUGAGGGACCAGCCUGGAGUCUGGCCCUUAUCUGGUUGGUCCUGAUGUUGACCUUUCUCAAGAUGCCUAGGAAGGUCAGACAGGCUGGCCCUAACCAUGUCGCUCAAGGUCAAUGCCUCCUCCCAGCACUAUUGUAAGCAACCCCGGGCAGUCUCCCUUUCUGCUGACAGGAGUGCUCUUGUCCCCUCCCCCGUCUCCUUCCCUCCUGGGAGCUGGGUCUCUUGGAAGCUGGGGCCUGGUGGGCCUGGAGUCUGAGCAAAGGGGCGAGGAGGGCUUGUGCAGACCUUGGUGAAACCUGAUGGACCGUCUCCACUCCGCAGAGAAGCCCUCUGGGGACUGGGAUGGGCACGUCCCUCAGACAGUUCUUCCCUUCUGGACAGUGUUGGAUGUGCACACAGCCAAAGUGGGCUUCUCUGGACCUUGGCUCUGCUCUGGACACCUCACUCCUUGGUUACUGCGUUCUUUCUUUGGCUGGGUUAACAUCUCUGAUGACCAGGCUGGAGAGCUGUGUCCGGAGCCAGGGAGCAUUUUGAGUCUCUUACUUCUCACUGGGCAGCCUCCUUACUGGCAUUUCUAACAAAGGCCCAGAGAGAGGUGGGGACCUACCCAAGCUCACACAGCCAGUCAGGACUGAGACAACCUGGAUUCCCAGCGCGUUCCCAAUUAAAUGGUUUAUCACUUUCAAAUAUGAAAAAUGAAUUAUAUCACUGCAGAAAAAUUAGAACAUACAGAUAAGAAAAAGCAAAAAUAAAGAUACCUUUGGUUUGUUUCUCAGAGAAACUUCCACUGCCCUUCCCCGUCCCUUCUCUCCACUCCCCCAGCCCCAGCCAUAAUCAAUACCUCGCCUCCUUUUGCCAACAGCUGGUCCCUGAGGAACAAGCCUUGACAGCAGGUCCUGGAAGACAGCCUUAGACCGGAUUCUGAAAAGGCCUGGCGUCUCUUCCCGAACAGCAGAGCUUCCGCCCAAACGGAACUGCUUAAGUGCAGGAUACAGUAGGAAAUACUCCCCGCCAGGACUCGGGAGCCUGCACCCAGCCCUGCCUAGUUUGUGGAUCGACUCUGUGUGACCUUGGGCCAAUCCCUGCCCUCUCAGUUUCUUCCACUGUAGAAUGAAGACUUGGACUUGACCAAGUGGUUUCCCCGCAGCCUAUCUCAGUCUUUCGGCUUCUCUUGGGCCAGGGCCGUGCCCUCUCCUCGGCUGCCAUAGGUCACAUGAGAGGUGGACCUCCAAGACGUCUGGACGAUGCAGAGCGAGGUGUUCUACUGGCCUAUUAACUGCGAGUGACCCCUGCCUGCCCAGCGCCCAGCUCCGUCCUGGCUCGGGGUCUGGCCCGGGCUUGCAGAUGCAGGCCCUGCCUGCCCGCAGACUAACAGAGCUCUGGCAGGAGGAGUGUGCGGACCCUGGGCCCAGCCCGCUGGAUGAAGUGUCAGUUACUUUGCCCAGGGGGCCUCAGGGCCCAUGACAUCAUGGACAGCACUUUCCAUGUUGGAGCUCACAGAACUAAGGCCAUUUAAAAAAAU
ensembl:lncRNA